rnacentral:rRNA from 1 species
UACAGAGGUCUCAAGCGUUGUUCGGAUUCAUUGGGCGUAAAGGGCGCGUAGGCGGGAUGGCAAGUCGGUCGUGAAAUCCUUCGGCUCAACCGAAGAACGUCGAUCGAUACUGCCGUGCUUGAGGACUGGAGAGGAGACUGGAAUUUACGGUGUAGCGGUGAAAUGCGUAGAUAUCGUAAGGAAGACCAGUGGCGAAGGCGGGUCUCUGGACAGUUCCUGACGCUGAGGCACGAAGGCCAGGGGAGCAAACGGG